rnacentral:rRNA from 1 species
CUACGGAGGGUCCGAGCGUUAUCCGGAAUCAUUGGGUUUAAAGGGUCCGUAGGCGGGAAUCUAAGUCAGUGGUGAAAUCUUGCAGCUCAACUGUAAAAUUGCCAUUGAUACUGGAUUUCUUGAAUUAGUGUGAAGUGGUUAGAAUGUGUAGUGUAGCGGUGAAAUGCAUAGAUAUUACACAGAAUACCAAUUGCGAAGGCAGAUCACUAACACUAUAUUGACGCUAAGGGACGAAAGCGUGGGGAGCGAACAGGAUUAGAAACCCGGGUAGUCC